rnacentral:rRNA from 1 species
AUACGUAGGUGACAAGCGUUAUCCGGAUUUACUGGGCGUAAAGGGCGUGUAGGCGGUCUUGCAAGUCAGAAGUGAAAUUCCUGAGCUCAACUCGGGCGCUGCUUCUGAAACUGCAGGACUUGAGUGCUGGAGGGGAUAGCGGAAUUCCUAGUGGAGCGGUAAAAUGCGCAGAUAUUAGGAAGAACACCGGUGGCGAAGGCGGCUAUCUGGACAGUAACUGACGCUGAGGCGCGAAAGCGUGGGGAGCAAACAGGAUUAGAUACCCUGGUAGUCCACGCUGUAAACGAUGAAUACUAGGUGUAGGGGGUAUCAACUCCCUCUGUGCCGCAGCAAACGCAAUAAGUAUUCCGCCUGGGGAGUACGGCCGCAAGGCUGAAACUCAAAUGAAUUGACGGGG